GGGUUGUGAGGUUAAGCGACUAAGCGUACACGGUGGAUGCCCUGGCAGUCAGAGGCGAUGAAGGACGUGCUAAUCUGCGAAAAGCGUCGGUAAGGUGAUAUGAACCGUUAUAACCGGCGAUGUCCGAAUGGGGAAACCCAGUGUGAUUCGUCACACUAUCGUUAACUGAAUACAUAGGUUAACGAGGCGAACCGGGGGAACUGAAACAUCUAAGUACCCCGAGGAAAAGAAAUCAACCGAGAUUCCCCCAGUAGCGGCGAGCGAACGGGGAGCAGCCCAGAGUCUGAAUCAGCUUGUGUGUUAGUGGAACGGUCUGGAAAGUCCGACGGUACAGGGUGAUAGUCCCGUACACCAAAAUGCACAGGCUGUGAACUCGAAGAGUAGGGCGGGACACGUGGUAUCCUGUCUGAAUAUGGGGGGACCAUCCUCCAAGGCUAAAUACUCCUGACUGACCGAUAGUGAACCAGUACCGUGAGGGAAAGGCGAAAAGAACCCCGGCGAGGGGAGUGAAAAAGAACCUGAAACCGUGUACGUACAAGCAGUGGGAGCACCUUUAUGGUGUGACUGCGUACCUUUUGUAUAAUGGGUCAGCGACUUAUAUUCUGUAGCAAGGUUAACCGUAUAGGGGAGCCGCAGGGAAACCGAGUCUUAACUGGGCGUUAAGUUGCAGGGUAUAGACCCGAAACCCGGUGAUCUAGCCAUGGGCAGGUUGAAGGUUGGGUAACACUAACUGGAGGACCGAACCGACUAAUGUUGAAAAAUUAGCGGAUGACUUGUGGCUGGGGGUGAAAGGCCAAUCAAACCGGGAGAUAGCUGGUUCUCCCCGAAAGCUAUUUAGGUAGCGCCUCGUGAAUUCAUCUUCGGGGGUAGAGCACUGUUUCGGCUAGGGGGUCAUCCCGACUUACCAACCCGAUGCAAACUACGAAUACCGAAGAAUGUUAUCACGGGAGACACACGGCGGGUGCUAACGUCCGUCGUGAAGAGGGAAACAACCCAGACCGCCAGCUAAGGUCCCAAAGUCAUGGUUAAGUGGGAAACGAUGUGGGAAGGCACAGACAGCCAGGAUGUUGGCUUAGAAGCAGCCAUCAUUUAAAGAAAGCGUAAUAGCUCACUGGUCGAGUCGGCCUGCGCGGAAGAUGUAACGGGGCUAAACCAUGCACCGAAGCUGCGGCAGCGACACUAUGUGUUGUUGGGUAGGGGAGCGUUCUGUAAGCCUGCGAAGGUGACCUGUGAGGGUUGCUGGAGGUAUCAGAAGUGCGAAUGCUGACAUAAGUAACGAUAAAGCGGGUGAAAAGCCCGCUCGCCGGAAGACCAAGGGUUCCUGUCCAACGUUAAUCGGGGCAGGGUGAGUCGACCCCUAAGGCGAGGCCGAAAGGCGUAGUCGAUGGGAAACAGGUUAAUAUUCCUGUACUUGGUGUUACUGCGAAGGGGGGACGGAGAAGGCUAUGUUAGCCGGGCGACGGUUGUCCCGGUUUAAGCAUGUAGGCUGGUUAUCCAGGCAAAUCCGGAUAAUCAAGGCUGAGGUGUGAUGACGAGGCACUACGGUGCUGAAGUAACAAAUGCCCUGCUUCCAGGAAAAGCCUCUAAGCAUCAGGUAACAUCAAAUCGUACCCCAAACCGACACAGGUGGUCAGGUAGAGAAUACCAAGGCGCUUGAGAGAACUCGGGUGAAGGAACUAGGCAAAAUGGUGCCGUAACUUCGGGAGAAGGCACGCUGGUGUGUAGGUGAAGUCCCUGCGGAUGGAGCUGAGACCAGUCGAAGAUACCAGCUGGCUGCAACUGUUUAUUAAAAACACAGCACUGUGCAAACACGAAAGUGGACGUAUACGGUGUGACGCCUGCCCGGUGCCGGAAGGUUAAUUGAUGGGGUUAUCCGUAAGGAGAAGCUCUUGAUCGAAGCCCCGGUAAACGGCGGCCGUAACUAUAACGGUCCUAAGGUAGCGAAAUUCCUUGUCGGGUAAGUUCCGACCUGCACGAAUGGCGUAAUGAUGGCCAGGCUGUCUCCACCCGAGACUCAGUGAAAUUGAACUCGCUGUGAAGAUGCAGUGUACCCGCGGCAAGACGGAAAGACCCCGUGAACCUUUACUAUAGCUUGACACUGAACAUUGAGCCUUGAUGUGUAGGAUAGGUGGGAGGCUUUGAAGCGUGGACGCCAGUCUGCGUGGAGCCAACCUUGAAAUACCACCCUUUAAUGUUUGAUGUUCUAACGUUGGCCCCUAAUCGGGGUUGCGGACAGUGUCUGGUGGGUAGUUUGACUGGGGCGGUCUCCUCCCAAAGCGUAACGGAGGAGCACGAAGGUUAGCUAAUCCUGGUCGGACAUCAGGAGGUUAGUGCAAUGGCAUAAGCUAGCUUGACUGCGAGCGUGACGGCGCGAGCAGGUGCGAAAGCAGGUCAUAGUGAUCCGGUGGUUCUGAAUGGAAGGGCCAUCGCUCAACGGAUAAAAGGUACUCCGGGGAUAACAGGCUGAUACCGCCCAAGAGUUCAUAUCGACGGCGGUGUUUGGCACCUCGAUGUCGGCUCAUCACAUCCUGGGGCUGAAGUAGGUCCCAAGGGUAUGGCUGUUCGCCAUUUAAAGUGGUACGCGAGCUGGGUUUAGAACGUCGUGAGACAGUUCGGUCCCUAUCUGCCGUGGGCGCUGGAGAAUUGAGGGGGGCUGCUCCUAGUACGAGAGGACCGGAGUGGACGCAUCACUGGUGUUCGGGUUGUCAUGCCAAUGGCACUGCCCGGUAGCUAAAUGCGGAAGAGAUAAGUGCUGAAAGCAUCUAAGCACGAAACUUGCCCCGAGAUGAGUUCUCCCUGAGACUUUAAGUCUCCUGAAGGAACGUUGAAGACGACGACGUUGAUAGGCCGGGUGUGUAAGCGCAGCGAUGCGUUGAGCUAACCGGUACUAAUGAACCGUGAGGCUUAACCUUACAACGCCGAAG
rnacentral:rRNA from 1 species